GGAGGGAUGGCCGAGCGGUUGAUGGCUCUAGUCUUGAAAACUAGCGUGGGUGAAAGCUCACCGGGGGUUCGAAUCCCUCUCCCUCCGCCA
rnacentral:tRNA from 1 species